rnacentral:rRNA from 1 species
CCUACGGGGGGCAGCAGUGGGGAAUAUCGGACAAUGGGCGCAAGCCUGAUCCAGCAAUACCGCGUGUGUGAAGAAGGCCUUAGGGUUGUAAAGCACUUUCAAUGGGGAGGAAAACCUACCGGUCAAUACCCGGUAGCUUGACAUUACCUGUAGAAGAAGCACCGGCUAACUCCGUGCCAGCAGCCGCGGUAAUACGGAGGGUGCAAGCGUUAAUCGGAAUUACUGGGCGUAAGGUCGUCAUAUGCGGUGGGAAAGCCCCGGGCUUAACCUGGGAACUGCAUUGGAAACUGGCGGACUAGAGUUGAGUAGAGGGGAGUGGAAUUUCAGGUGUAGCGGUGAAAUGCGUAGAUAUCUGAAGGAACACCAGUGGCGAAGGCGACUCCCUGGACUCAAACUGACGCUGAGGUACGAAAGCGUGGGUAGCAAACAGGAUUAGAUACCCUGGUAGUC